CAGUAGCCGCGGUAAAACGGAGGGUGCAAGCGUUAAUCGGAAUUACUGGGCGUAAAGCGCACGCAGGCGGUCUUUCAAGUCGGAUGUGAAAUCCCCGGGCUCAACCUGGGAACUGCAUUCGAAACUGGCAGGCUAGAGUCUUGUAGAGGGGGGUAGAAUUCCAGGUGUAGCGGUGAAAUGCGUAGAGAUCUGGAGGAAUACCGGUGGCGAAGGCGGCCCCCUGGACAAAUACUGACGCUCAGGUGCGAAAGCGUGGGGAGCAAACAGGAUUAGAUACCCGCGUAGUCCCUGUCUCUUAUAC
rnacentral:rRNA from 1 species